rnacentral:pre_miRNA from 1 species
GGCCUUCCUCUGCAGGGCGAUAGAUCAUGGGGCUCCAAGAUCAAUGGCUCCGCAGAGGGAGGCC